GACGAACGCUGGCGGCGUGCUUAACACAUGCAAGUCGAACGGAAAGGCCAGUGCUUGCACUGGUGCUCGAGUGGCGAACGGGUGAGUAACACGUGGGUGAUCUGCCUUGCACUCUGGGAUAAGCUUGGGAAACUGGGUCUAAUACCGGAUAGGAACCGUCUUUAGUGUGGUGGUUGGAAAGUUUUUUCGGUGCAAGAUGAGCUCGCGGCCUAUCAGCUUGUUGGUGGGGUAAUGGCCUACCAAGGCGUCGACGGGUAGCCGGCCUGAGAGGGUGUACGGCCACAUUGGGACUGAGAUACGGCCCAGACUCCUACGGGAGGCAGCAGUGGGGAAUAUUGCACAAUGGGCGGAAGCCUGAUGCAGCGACGCCGCGUGGGGGAUGACGGCCUUCGGGUUGGAAACUCCUUUCGACAGGGACGAAGCGUUAUGUGACGGUACCUGUAGAAGAAGCACCGGCUAACUACGUG
rnacentral:rRNA from 1 species